GACGAACGCUGGCGGCGUGCUUAACACAUGCAAGUCGAACGAAGUGGCCAACGGGUGAGUAACGCGUAAUCAACCUGCCUUUCAGAGGGUGACUACAGUUGGAAACGACUGCUACUACCGCAUACCGCAGGCGGUGAUUGCGUCUGAUUCGCUAGUUGGAGGGGUAACGUCCCACCAAGGAGAUGAUCAGUAGCCGGGCUGAGAGGAUGGACGGCCACAUUGGGACUGAGAAACGGGCCAGACUCCUACGGGAGGCAGGAGUGGGGGAACAUCCGCAAGGGAGGAAAGUCUGACGGAGCAACGCCGCGUGAGUGAUGAAGGCCUUCGGGUUGUAAAGCUCUGUUAAGCGGGACGCGGUACCGGAAUAGAAAGCCACGGCUAACUACGUGCCAGCAGCCGCGGUAAUAC
rnacentral:rRNA from 1 species